UACGGGGGGGGUAAGCGUUGUCCGGAAUUAUUGGGCGUAAAGAGCUCGUAGGCGGCUUGUCGCGUCGUCCGUGAAAACCUGCGGCUCAACUGCAGGCUUGCGGUCGAUACGGGCAGGCUGGAGUUCGGUAGGGGAGACUGGAAUUCCUGGUGUAGCGGUGAAAUGCGCAGAUAUCAGGAAGAACACCAAUGGCGAAAGCAGCUCUCUGGGACGGUACUGACGCUGAGACGCGAAAGCGUGGGGAGCGAACAGG
rnacentral:rRNA from 1 species